GGAUAAAGGCUUAGUUGAGUUGUUCUUAAUCCAUGAAAACUUGUGUAUUCAAUUUUGAAAUACACCACAGAAAAAAAAAAAUCCAUAUACCCUUUUUUUCCUUGAGAGAGAGCAAAAAAAAAGAGGGAGAAAAAUAAUGGUUUUUGACUUAGGGAUAAGUCUGAAAGUUCAAAUUUCAAAUGACUUUAGAGGCAACUGAGGCAAAUAAUCAAUCUUUUAUUGACAUGGCUUUAGCAAAAUUGACUUUCGCAAUAGGCAUGCAUACCCUUAAAAUGAUAGGCCUAAGGACCAAUAAAAUACAAAAUUAAGGUUGUUUAUCAACUGAACUAUUUGAAGAGAAUAAUUAUCAAUAAUGUGCACAAACUUCAACAAUUGAACUAUUUGCGCCUACCCUCAAUAACCCCAAUAUUCUAGAGUUCAUAGCCACUUCCAAUAUUUUCUAAAGUGGCCAUAAUAUAGAGAAAACCUAUAUUUUAAUUUAGGUAGCCCCUGUUCCUUU
rnacentral:misc_RNA from 1 species